rnacentral:rRNA from 1 species
GACGAACGCUGGCGGCGUGCUUAACACAUGCAAGUCGAACGGAAAGGCCCCUUUGGGGGUACUCGAGUGGCGAACGGGUGAGUAACACGUGAGUAACCUGCCCUUGACUUCGGGAUAACUUCAGGAAACUGGGGCUAAUACCGGAUAGGAAUCCUUGCUGCAUGGUGGGGGUUGGAAAGCUUCGGCGGUUUUGGAUGGACUCGCGGCUUAUCAGCUUGUUGGUGGGGUAGUGGCUUACCAAGGCUUUGACGGGUAGCCGGCCUGAGAGGGCGACCGGCCACAUUGGGACUGAGGUACGGCCCAGACUCCUACGGGAGGCAGCAGUGGGGAAUAUUGCACAAUGGGCGGAAGCCUGAUGCAGCAACGCCGCGUGCGGGAUGACGGCCUUCGGGUUGGAAACCGCUUUCAGCAGGGGCGAAGCUUGUGGUGACGGUACCUGCAGAAGAAGCACCGGCUAACUACGUG